rnacentral:misc_RNA from 1 species
UCCGGUUUGUCACCGGCAGUCCCAUUAGAGUCCCCGCCAUGACGCGCUGGCAACUAAGGACAAGGGUUUCGCUCGUUAAGGGACUUAACCCAACACCUCACGGCACGAGCUGACGACAGCCAUGCACCACCUGUGCACCCGUCCCGAAGGAGGCCCCCCUUUCGGAGGGUUGCGAGUGUAUGUCAAGCCCAGGUAAGGUUCUUCGCGUUGCAUCGAAUUAAACCACACGCUCCGCUGCUUGUGCGGGUCCCCGUCAAUUCCUUUGAGUUUUAGUCUUGCGACCGUACUCCCCAGGCGGGCUACUUAAUGCGUUAGCUUCGGCACAGGAGGGGUCAACACCCCCCACACCUAGUAGCCAUCGUUUACUGCUAGGACUAA